ensembl:lncRNA
UUUCACUCCCAAACAGCCUGUGUGUUUAUCGUGUGUGAUUCCCUUUGUGGACAGCAGAACAGAUGUGGCAGCAGACACAGAAUAUGAGUGAUUGCAGAUGGCCUGGAGGGAGAGAUACGGGCACACCUCUGGCAGCUGGGUGGGAGUGGGCUUCGUGGGUAUGCAGUCAGUGGACGGGACACUGUUGUUGCUUAAAGAAGCGACAGCAAGUAGCGGUAAAGACUGUGGCGAAUAAAGCGAUGAUUAGGAGUCUCCUUCGUCCAAGCCUUGGAGUUCCAGUAGCAGGUCUUUGAUCUGUGGCGUGUACUCUGUGGCGUGUUUGCCAGUCUCCUCCCUUAGCUUUUGUGGUCUGCUUUAGGUCAGAUUUCUCUUUUCCAGGUGUUAAUUCAGUGGAGCUCUGAGGCAGUAUCUCUUAAUAACCACCAUCUUCUGUAAAUAGAAGUCAAAAUUUGAUUUUGAAGGAAGAUUUAACUCUGAACUCUUUGCUUGAUUUGUGGGGUUGAAGGAUAUAACUUCUCCCUUUAUGGAACAGAUAGCUGGAUAAUGCAUGUGAGAUUGCAGCAGUCUUUUCCCAGUAGAAGACUCCUUGUUAAUUUAAAACCGGGCCUUACUAGGUUGGUUUGGAUUUAAUGCAAUCCAGUAUUUCAGCGGAGCAAACACUUAAUCAUUAACCACUUGUAAUGCCUAUUAUGAGGGUUGGGUUUGCACAGCCAAAUAAGCCGCAAGCCUUGUUUUCAAGGAGUUCAGCAUCCAGCAUGGCCACCUGAGCUGUGUGCAGCCCCCUUAAGUGCAGCUGCAGGAGAGACCCCCCCAAGGAGGAAGCCCUGACCUGGGACGCGUCACUUCAGGUGGGCCUUGUAAGUAGACUUUUGUUUGGUCCUGAAAGAGAGCGCUCCGUUCUUCAGGCAGAAUGAGCCAAGUGCCAAAUGAAAGCUUUUGUGAUCAGGGACUCAUAAUAUGGAAGCAGGGUAAAGAAUUUCUUCUCUUCCUUCCCAGUUAAAUAAGAGUUAAAGUCAUAAUAUAAAAAUUCAGACUAGAAUAUAGAUAGAUAUAAAUACCAGAAAGAAUAUAUAAAAUUAUACUAGAAAUACUGAAAUACUAGAAGAAUAUAAAAUUAUAAGUAAAUUACCCCUUUUAUUCCUCUAUUAGUUUCUAUUGCUGGUAUAAUUAAUUUUUACCACAUUGUUACUGUUAUGAAACAACACAAAUUUAUUAUCUUAAUGCUUCUUUAAGCC